rnacentral:lncRNA from 1 species
UGGCAGCAGAUAAGUUGUACGUAACGAGUUAAUUUUUAUUUUACUUCCUUGUUGACAUAGAUGGAUUUUCUUUUCAUUGCCUUGAUAGGGAAUGAACAGAAGUCACUCCUGACAUAUGCAGGCUGGUUGCUUUGGUGAGUCCGAAAUGAACGGAUCUUCAAUAAUUCUUCCAUCUCUCUAUCACAUUUGAUAGGUAGACUCCCAGCUUAUAGUAUGAGUGACCAUGCAUCUAAUCACCUCUCACGGGCCCGUGUCCAUAUUGGAGUAGCCAAUUGCAAGAGGAUUUUUUCUAUUGUCAACCCACUUUAGUGUCUUGGCUACCUCCAUCCAAAAGGGUCAUUAAAAUCAAUUUUGAUGCAUCUGUUAC